GAAAUGAAAGCCACAGAAAUGCUAAGUGAAAUUCCAUCUCUGAUGUUAACAGUAUUGAUAAAUUACAGUUCAUGUAUUAACGUUUUGUGUGCGCUCAGUGGUGAACCUUUGCUUUCUUCCUUUCUCAUUUUUUCCUUUUGUCUGUGUCCUCCAGGAAGCAGGAGGACCUGGUGCAGAACGUGAGGCGUCGGCUGGAGGAAGCCCUCAUGGCUGACAUGUUGGCUCAUAUAGAGGACAACACUGCAGGUGCAGCAACCAGCAAAGUAGAAGAGAAGGUCACCCCUGAGGACAAUGAGAUUUUAUAGCCAAGACCUGACGUGGCAUCUGCUGGUAAACCUUUUUCAGUUUCAAAUGUUUUGCUCCUGGGGGAUUUUCUGUAAACUUCUCAGUGAAGUAAACCCUUAACACAGACAUUUUUCAAAUUUGGUAACCUAAACAAAGACCUUUUUGUUGACUUUUUCUACAUUCGACCAUGUUACCCUGAGCGGGUGCUUUAAGUUUUACUUGUUUUUUAAUGUUUUACCCUAAUGUAUGACCGAUGUGUUUGGUGCUCAGUGCAGUGCAGUGCAAGCUAAAUUCAAGGUAAAACACUGUGUGUGUGUGAGAGUGUGUGUGUUUGUGUGAGAGAGAGAGAGUGUGUGUGUGUGUGUGUGUGUGUGUGUGCGUGUGUGUGUGUGUGAGAGAGAGUGUGAGUGAGAGAGAGAGAUAUCAGUUGAUGUUAAGAACCUGGCAUGUAUUUUCUUUUAGAAGGACAUGUCGGCACUUUAGGUGUCUGUUUGUAGGUUGCAGUAUGUUUACACAUUGCCCUCUUGUGGCUGUAAAUAAUCACGUUUAGUUUGUUUGAGCAAAGGUUGUACAGUUUAUGGUGCUGUUAUUUCACAACCCGAGUUCUGAGUUUUUAAGUUUUAGUCAGGGGUGGGGAACUUUAAUUAUCUUAUGUUUCUUUAAGGACCACAUUACAAAAUGUCACAGCAUUGGCCUUUCUGAUGCGAGGGCCAGUGCUGCUGCCCUUUGGCAGUGUGUCUCAUGUCAGACAGUAGUGAUUACGAUGCUACUCACAGCUAUUUUUUCAGGUUUUGGUCAGUGAGUCAGUCAGUGGAUCUAGGUUACUUAUGAAAAGAACCAAUCACAGCAAUGUUUCCUAUAAAAAAAGACAUUCAAACAUCAGCAAUGUGUAAAACCCUCAGAACUGUAGCCUUUGAGCAGAGAAGGGUUGUAGUUACCUUGGGCUCAUUGUUGCUCACAGAUCAAUAAUUGCUCCUUAGAGAUUGCCGGGUAUAUCAAGUGGUUGCAUUUAAUAAUUAUUUUUGUGUACUUUCCAAUUCCUGAACCUUUUUCAACAAAUGCCUGCAGGUGUUUUGUAAACUCUCCAAUGUAUUCAGAUGUCAUAGCAGGCUUUUGUUCUUGAAAGUGUGCAGUAUUAUCACAGUUUCACUUGCCAAAGCUUUAAUUUGGCUUGAGUUGACUACAUGUUUGUGACUUUAAAGCUCUGGGUUGUACUUGGUAAUUUCCACCAUGCCAGUUCAAUCAAGUGAGUCAGCCAUUGCACCUCACAAAAGAUGACCCAUUUCUUUCUUUUUCUUUACCUGUGUGAUUAUUAAAUGCCUUUUUUAUGGGCCAACAUGUUGUAGUGAUAUGCCUGGAUUGCAAUGGCCACCAUUCUUCCCUUAUAUCAAACAGUGUUCCGACACACAAAAAAUAGCAAGUUGUCUAGUGGUUUCACUUUUUUGUAUAUGAAUGAAGCCAUAUACAACUGAAUGUCAAGAUAGAGAAUUGUCAAUAUUGUUUUGCUAACUAUGUUUGAGUAUUUACAGUGAAAGAAAAGGUGUGUAUCAUAAGAAAAUACAGAAACAAAUACACUGCUGGUGUACCUCAUUACCCGAUGUUACCGCACCUCAUCACAAAAUCCAUUGUCUUUGUAUCACUGCAACACUGAAAUAAAUACAGCUGUUUUGUAA